rnacentral:rRNA from 1 species
UACGUAGGGUGCGAGCGUUGUCCGGAAUUACUGGGCGUAAAGAGCUCGUAGGUGGUUUGUCGCGUUGUUCGUGAAAACCUGAGGCUUAACCUUGGGCGUGCGGGCGAUACGGGCAGACUGGAGUACUGCAGGGGAGACUGGAAUUCCUGGUGUAGCGGUGGAAUGCGCAGAUAUCGGGAGGAACACCAGUGGCGAAGGCGACUACCUGGCCUGUUCUUGACGCUGAGGCGCGAAAGCUAGGGGAGCAAACGGG